rnacentral:rRNA from 1 species
GAUGAACGCUAGCUACAGGCUUAACACAUGCAAGUCGCGGGGUAACAUCUGGUAGAGCUUGCUCUUUCAGGAUGGCGACCGGCGCACGGGUGAGUAACGCGUAUCCAACCUUCCCCUGUCCACGGGAUAGCCCGUCGAAAGGCGGAUUAAUACCGUAUGAGGUCACACGAUGGCAUCAGACUGUGACGAAAGGUUUGGCGGACAGGGAUGGGGAUGCGUCCGAUUAGGUAGUCGGCGGGGUAACGGCCCACCGAGCCGACGAUCGGUAGGGGUUCUGAGAGGAAGGUCCCCCACAUUGGAACUGAGACACGGUCCAAACUCCUACGGGAGGCAGCAGUGAGGAAUAUUGGUCAAUGGACGUAAGUCUGAACCAGCCAAGUAGCGUGCAGGAUGACGGCCCUAUGGGUUGUAAACUGUCUUUUAUGCGGGGAUAAAGUGAGGGACGCGUCCCUUUUUGCAGGUACCGCAUGAAUAAGGACCGGCUAACUCCGUG